CUCGGCCGAGAUCCGAGGAGUCUCGCUGGGAAAGUUCAUUUUUCACCCGUUUUUGCGUAUUUUUGCGUUUUAAACCCAUUUUUAAUUAUUUUAACAUAGGAUUUUCACCCAAAACUUUAUUUUAAAUUAUAAGACCCCUAAAUUAAUGAUUUAAUCACAUUUUAAGGAUAAAAUCUUAUUUAAAAAGGAGUUGGUAAAGUACAAAAGAAGAGUGUUGACCUUACUUUAGUUUAUGACGCAAGCAACCCCCACACCCACUCCAUGACAACCCACACUCCUCCCCACCAUACCUUGUACCUUUUACUCCCUUUCACAAGUAACCCCCACAAUCUAAGGGCUGAUCUUACAACCUCUCUCCUCAUUCUCUUCAAACACUCUCAAAUUACACCAAGAUUGAACUCCAACUUUUUCUCUCCAACUUCUCUCUCUAACUCACGAUCUCAAGGCUGAUCAUCAAGUGUUCUUCCACUCUUGGUAAGUGUAAUCCACCCUCCUUGUGAUUCUUACACUUCAUUCUACUCAAAUCACCGAUAGCUCAUACAAACUCCAUAACUAUCAUGCUAGAUUCUCGAAAAUCUUCAAGACAUUUCCAAGUGUCCUUGAGUUAAGCACCUCCAUUCUUCAACAAUCAUCUACUGAAAACACUUAAGGUGAGUUCAUACCCCUACAUUUUCAUGUUUUCUCAAGUUUUUAGGGGGGGAAUACAAGCCAAAACACCAAGAACAUAUCUAAAUUCUUCUAACAGCUUUCAUCAGAAAAGUUGGACUCCAUUCACGGACUGUUUUGGACACCCUAAACAUUUUAGUUUUCAAAACUGUUUUACGUGCAUGUAGUUCCACUUCUUAACUUUAAAAUGACUACUUGCACAUCUCCAUACGAUUUUUCUACAAUUUAUGGUGAUUUUUACAAAACUGCCUAUCAUUUCAAACACCAAUCCGGACCAGUCUGUGAUUAUGGACUUUUUCACCUAAGUUGCAGGUCAUUAAAAAUCAUGAUAAAAAUUAUGAGUAAACUAGACACAUUUUGGGAACUCCCAAAAUUUACGGAUUUAGUUUUCGACUUCGUAUAAUUUUUCUAUGAAUUUCCAAAAACAGUGUAGAAAGGCUGAAAAUUUGUUAAUAGCUUGUAAUUCUUAUAACACUUUGUAUUAUGUUGAGCAAAGUGUAUAAUGUCAAGUUCUAAGUAUUGAAUGUGAUACGUUGUAAAUCUUCUCAUCCUAAACUGAAAAUAGGUCAUUCAUGAUAAGAUUAUUCAUCUAUUUAGAACACGCAAAUAUAUAAACUAUAAUAAGCAUAGUUUAAUGGAUUUCAUAAUCCUAACGCUUUUUCAUAAAAGAGUUCUUACAUAUUACAAACAUUUUGGAUAAACUAUAAUAGGUAUAGUUUAUGAUACAUCACAUGACACACACGUACGAAAAGGGUACAUUCAUACAGAAAGAUUUUACACUCCCGCAUACAACUUGUAAACUUGUUAACCUAAAUUGUGAGACAUUCUCUUUCCGUACGUCCGAGUGCGGGAUAUAAAAUCCUGUUCGUUAUAAUCAGAGUCUCCUAGAGGGAGAACGUGAUAGUUGUAUAUAGAUCUAUAUUGGGUUUGACACCCCACACCUUGCUGCUAGCUACAGUUGGACCUGCAGGUCUACGGGUGACAAAUGUCAUUUCAGUUUUUAUUCGAUGCCUGAGAAACGUCGUAGCAGGUUCAUUUAGUCUUAAGUAUGAUUAUAGCGGCUCACAUAAGGAUAUAACAAUACAUAAAGUUUACGGGAUUUUUAUAAAACUUGAAUGAGUUUUAUGUCGAUUUUAAAAUCACUUUUAUCUCAAUAAAUACAGGUAUUACUGUACGUUUCCGGUUUUGGUAUUUAUGACUACACAUCAUGUGAUACCACAUUUAUAACUUUAAGUAUGGACAAUACUUAUUAUUUUCUUGGUCCUGAGAUUUAGGACUACUCGUACAGAAAAUAUUAACAAAUUUAAGAAAUUACGAGAGUUUCACUAAUAUCAUAUGCGUUUAAAUUGAAAUAAACAUACAUUAUUUUCUGUAAAUAAGGAAGAUUACUCAUACAUUACAGUCUUUGGAUACAAGACUACAUUAUUCAUUUUAAGAAAAAUAUCAGAUUUUUCUGGAACAACUAGGCCAUUACUUGACGAGCUUUUUCAUAAAGAUAUACAAAAACUUAUGAACUCACCAACCAUUGUGUUGACACUUUUUCAAACUGCUUGUAUUCUCAGGAAAUCGCUAAACAGGUAACAAAGUACUUUUGAGGAUGGGACGUUGAGGCGUCAAACUUAUCAUAUUUUGUCAACAUAUUGUAAUUGAAUUUGAAACAUGUAAUUCAUACAAUGAUGUAACUUUUUCAAUUAUAUAUAUGUUGGUUGUGUUUACUUUCAUCACUAUUACCAUUGUUGUUAUGAUACUACACAUGAAGUCCUCCAUCCCUGGACGUUUCCGCCAUCCUUGGUUCAGGGGUGUGACACUCACACUUGGAUCAAGGAAAGUCACAAGGUUAUCAAAAAGCUAGUAAUUGAUUCCGUUUUGUUCAUGUCCGUCAUUACCAUCGUUUCGGUAAUGACUAAGAAGAUGAUUGUUAUUCUGACCCUAGUGGUCAUAUCAAAUUGAGUCCCACUAAGAUGAGUAUGUUACGUGGUUCAUAUAAGUAAGUUCGAUGUAGCAUCUGACUUAAGCCAGAAGAUUGAAGUGAAAGAUAAUUGAAUCAAUCAAUAAAAGUUUCGCGAUCGUUGUUAAAGAAAAGAAGCUUGUAGCUAGAAAUGCUAUCUGCUAGAAUGUGAUUAUAUCAUAUUAUAACAUGAAGGAAGGUAUAUCCUGUUCUGGAAUUUAACUCUAAAAAUGACCUGAGUCUAAGCGUUGCAUCAUACGAUCAGAGGUCAUUAGAACAUGACCCAUCGGUCCAUUAUGGUAAUCAAAGAACUUAUCCUAAGUUUGUUAAAAAAGAGUCUCCGAUAAAGAUCGAGAUUGUAACAUGAAGGUCAUGAUCAAAAGUCUAACAUAAGAUAGAUAACGGGUGCAAGGUUGAGCACCGCCUGCGGUUAAGAAGACCAAGAGUUAGAUACCCAUUCAAAGGAACAUAGAAGUUUCAGUUAUUACCUAGGAUGAAGAGAUAAAGUAUGGAGUCAAUAUACAAGCCCUGUUUCGUUGAUGAUUCCGGGACGUAAUCAUCCUAAGGGGGAGAUAAUUGUAACGCUCGCAGAUUUAGGCUAGUCAAUUUAGAGACAAUAAGUGUCAAUAAUGAAUUUUUGAUAGAAGAUUAUUUAGAAUAAAUAAUGUUAACUAAGCUGUAGUAUAUGUUACAAGGGUUCCGUACAUAUAAAGAACAUCGAAAUCCGAGUUAUGACGAAGAAGUUAUGGCUCGUCGAAGUCUCGCAACAAAACCUGCACAACGCUGUGUGACGUAAAAAGUGAGUUUAAGAUAAAAUACUUUUAGCCUUGGUAAACUAAACAAAAUUCGUAGUAUUCAUUAAACCGAGAGCAUACAUGAAAAGAACGCCCAAAUUUUACUUCGUAUGAGAAAGUUAUGAGUUUUUCCAAGUUUCGGCACAACAGUGUGCAACCCGGAGUUCGAAUUUUAGAUCGACCAAUUUUUACCGAAACGAUCUAAAAGAGAAUCGAAUCUCGUUAAUAGUAGCUCAAAGGUAAAAAGAUUGACGAAAACGAACGUCGGAUGACAAAGUUAUGAAUUUUUAACGGACUUUUCCUGUCCCGGCCUGUUAACAAUAUAACUUUAAAAAUAAAGUCAAAAUUAGCUGACGGGGUCUAAACGAAAGUUGUAGAGUACGAUCCACCUACACGUGUGUGACAUCCUAAUUUUCAAGGCCAAAAAUUUCAUUUUUAAUUAUGAGAUUCAUAACAUAGUUUACCAAACAUUGCCAAUGUCAUAUCAAUUUAUAAAAAUAAUAACAACGUGUAUCUGAAAACCAUAUCAUCAAAAGUAACAAAAAUCAGAGUACAAUCCCAGAAAUCUCCACGCGGAAUCCAUAUGAGUGUGUGUGUGUGAUGCGUUGCUACACCGCCGACUCCUUCCCCUUAGAUGAAGAGGUACCUGAAACCAAAACUAAAACUGUAAGCACAAAGCUUAGUGAGUUCCCUCGUCAUACCCAUACCAAAAAAAUGCAUAAUCUUCGGUAUCUUUCAACCGGUAACUGGGAACUACCCUCCUUUUCGGUAUCUUUCAACCGGUAACUGGGAUACUACUCUCCCCUUCGGUAUCUUUCAACCAAUAAUUGGGAGUUACUCUCCCCGUCGGUAUCUUUCAACCGGUAUCUGGGAACUACCCUCCCCUACGGUAUCUUUCAACCGGUAACCGGGAGCUACCUUCCCCUUCAGUAUCUUUCAACCAGUAUCCAGGGAUGUGACAACCGUCAAUCUUCGGUCAAGUCAAAGUCAACAAAAGUCAACAAGUCAAACCGGUCAACUCAAUUUGCCGUGAGUACUAGAUUUUACGUUAUGUAACUUCUAAACAACUCUCUAUUCUAAUGAGAGAUCAUAAAUUGAAAAGUGCGUACAUCUAGACCUCCUUAACCUAAAACGGUGGUACGUAGAGAGCCAAACCGAUAAAACAAUGUUACAUACUCAUCGGGAGUAUGCAAGAUCCCUAAACAAGGCUUAGCGGAGUUUACGGACCUUGCAGUGCGUAGCUGGACACUCAAAAAGGUCACCAAUGAAACCUCUCCCACAUAUCUCUAAGUAUGUGAAAUCUCUCCCACAUAUCUCUAAGUAUGUGAAACCUCUCCCACAUAUCUCUAAGUAUGUGAAAUCUCUCCCACAUAUCUCUAAGUAUGUGAAACCUCUCCCACAUAUCUCUAAGUAUGUGAAACCUCUCCCACAUAUCUCUAAGUAUGUGAAACCUCUCCCACAUAUCUCUAAGUAUGUGAAAUCUCUCCCACAUAUCUCUAAGUAUGUGAAACCUCUCCCACAUAUCUCUAAGUAUGUGAAACCUCUCCCACAUAUCUCUAAGUAUGUGAAANNNNNNNNNNNNNNNNNNNNNNNNNNNNNNNNNNNNNNNNNNNNNNNNNNNNNNNNNNNNNNNNNNNNNNNNNNNNNNNNNNNNNNNNNNNNNNNNNNNNNNNNNNNNNNNNNNNNNNNNNNNNNNNNNNNNNNNNNNNNNNNNNNNNNNNNNNNNNNNNNNNAAAUCUCUCCAAGUAUGUCAAAUCUCUCCCAAAUCUCUCUAAGUAUGUGAAAUCUCUCUCACAUAUCUCUUUGUAUGUGAAAUCUCUCCAAGUAUGUCAAAUCUCUCCCAAAUCUCUCCAAGUAUGUCAAAUCUCUCCCAAAUCUCUCUAUGUAUGUGAAAUCUCUCUCACAUAUCUCUUUGUAUGUGAUACCUCUCCAAGUAUGUCAAAUCUCUCCUAAAUCUCUCCAAGUAUGUCAAAUCUCUCCCAAAUCUCUCUAAGUAUGUGAAAUCUCUCUCACAUAUCUCUUUGUAUGUGAAAUCUCUCCAAGUAUGUCAAAUCUCUCCCAAAUCUCUCUAAGUAUGUGAAAUCUCUCUCACGUAUCUCUUCGUAUGUGAAAUCUCUCCAAGUACGUCAAAUCUCUCCCAAAUCUCUCUGAGAACGAGGAAUCUCUCUCAAAUCUCUCUCGAAAUCUCUCCCAACUUUCUAUAAUCACUCGGGGCAUCCCGACCCUCGAAUUUGGCGAAAAUAGCCCAAGAACGGAAGUCUACGCGAAAAACGGACUUAAGGAAACGAACCCUCCGAACCGAAAGUACUAUUCAUGAACCGAACCGAAAGCACUAUUCAUGAGGGUCCGAACCGAAAGUACUGUUCAUAAGCUGGACCGAAGUUACUGUUCAUCGAACCGAACCUGGCAUUGAAGGAGAUCCGAACCGAACCCGGCAUAGAGGGAAGGUCCGAACCGAGAGUACUGUUCAUCAUUGUUCACAACAGUGCCUUCGGUUCUGGCCUCACUUCGGACCGAACCCCCUGAUUCGCUUCUCGCCUUCGCUUCGGACAGCAUCACCUCGGACCUAGCUUCGCUUCUCCUCCCGCCUCCUGACCCAGCCUACCGCGUCCGAACCGAGCCCCAUCUGACCGAACUUCGGCCCAGAGACCGAGCCUCGGCCGAGAUCCGAAGGGUCUCGCUGGGGCAGCUCGGAUUUCGCCCAUUUUUGCGUAUUUUUGCGUUUUAAACCCAUUUUUAAUUGUUUUAAUAUGGGAUUUUCACCAAAAACUUUAUUUUUAAUUAUAAGACCCCUAAAUUAAUGAUUUAAUCACAUUUUAAAGAUAAAAUCUUAUUUAAAAAGGAGUUGGUAAAGUACAAAAAGAAGAGUGUUGACCUUACCUUAGUUAUGACGCAAGCAACCCCAUGUCCACUCCAUGACAACCCACACUCCUCCCCACCAUACCUUGUNCCUUGUACUUUUUACCUCCCUCACAAGCCAUCUCCAUGCUUUGAGAGCUGGAUAUUCAUCCUCUCUCCUCAUUUUCUCUCAUUUGUUCUCAUUUCACAAGAAAAUCAAACUCCUUUCUCUCUCACUCUCUCUCUCUAGAAAUCCGAGAUUCAAGGGUUGAUCUUGAGAGUUUCCUCCACCUUUGGUAAGCAUAAUCCAUUUCCUUUAUGAUUAUCUCAAUUAUUUCCACUCAAAUCAUGGAUAUCUUACACAAACUCCAUUAUAUUUGUGUUAGAGCUUCGAAUCUUCAAGCGAUUCUUCUAGUGUUCUUGGGUUGAACACUUCUCUUCUUCAACACUUAUCUACUGAAAUCACACAAGGUGAGUUCAUACCCCUACAUUUUCA
rnacentral:lncRNA from 1 species